rnacentral:rRNA from 1 species
UACGUAGGUGGCAAGCGUUGUUCGGAAUUAUUGGGCGUAAAGCGCCCGUAGGCGGCCUGACAAGUUGGACGUGAAAGCUCCUGGCUUAACUGGGAGAGGCCGUUCAAAACUGUCAAGCUAGAGUCUGGAAGAGGAGAGCGGAAUUCCCGGUGUAGUGGUGGAAUGCGUAGAGAUCGGGAGGAACACCAGUGGCGAAAGCGGCUCUCUGGUCCAAAACUGACGCUGAGGGGCGAAAGCGUGGGGAGCGAACGGG